UACGUAGGUGGCAAGCGUUAUCCGGAAUUAUUGGGCGUAAAGAGCGCGCAGGUGGUUGAUUAAGUCUGAUGUGAAAGCCCACGGCUUAACCGUGGAGGGUCAUUGGAAACUGGUCGACUUGAGUGCAGAAGAGGGAAGUGGAAUUCCAUGUGUAGCGGUGAAAUGCGUAGAGAUAUGGAGGAACACCAGUGGCGAAGGCGGCUUCCUGGUCUGUAACUGACACUGAGGCGCGAAAGCGUGAGGAGCAAACAGGAUUA
rnacentral:rRNA from 1 species